AAACAGGGCGGCGUGCUAUACAUGCAAGUCGAGCGAACAGACGAGGAGCUUGCUCCUCUGACGUUAGCGGCGGACGGGUGAGUAACACGUGGAUAACCUACCUAUAAGACUGGGAUAACUUCGGGAAACCGGAGCUAAUACCGGAUAAUAUAUUGAACCGCAUGGUUCAAUAGUGAAAGACGGUUUUGCUGUCACUUAUAGAUGGAUCCGCGCCGCAUUAGCUAGUUGGUAAGGUAACGGCUUACCAAGGCAACGAUGCGUAGCCGACCUGAGAGGGUGAUCGGCCACACUGGAACUGAGACACGGUCCAGACUCCUACGGGAGGCAGCAGUAGGGAAUCUUCCGCAAUGGGCGAAAGCCUGACGGAGCAACGCCGCGUGAGUGAUGAAGGUCUUCGGAUCGUAAAACUCUGUUAUUAGGGAAGAACAAAUGUGUAAGUAACUAUGCACGUCUUGACGGUACCUAAUCAGAAAGCCACGGCUAACUACGUGCCAGCAGCCGCGGUAAUACGUAGGUGGCAAGCGUUAUCCGGAAUUAUUGGGCGUAAAGCGCGCGUAGGCGGUUUUUUAAGUCUGAUGUGAAAGCCCACGGCUCAACCGUGGAGGGUCAUUGGAAACUGGAAAACUUGAGUGCAGAAGAGGAAAGUGGAAUUCCAUGUGUAGCGGUGAAAUGCGCAGAGAUAUGGAGGAACACCAGUGGCGAAGGCGACUUUCUGGUCUGUAACUGACGCUGAUGUGCGAAAGCGUGGGGAUCAAACAGGAUUAGAUACCCUGGUAGUCCACGCCGUAAACGAUGAGUGCUAAGUGUUAGGGGGUUUCCGCCCCUUAGUGCUGCAGCUAACGCAUUAAGCACUCCGCCUGGGGAGUACGACCGCAAGGUUGAAACUCAAAGGAUUUGACGGGGGACCCGCACAAGCGGUGG
rnacentral:rRNA from 1 species